GUGAGGAAUAUUGCACAAUGGGCGAAAGCCUGAUGCAGCAACGCCGCGUGAGUGAUGAAGGCCUUUGGGUCGUAAAACUCUGUCCUUGGGGAAGAAAAAAAUGACGGUACCCUUGGAGGAAGCCCCGGCUAACUACGUGCCAGCAGCCGCGGUAAUACGUAGGGGGCAAGCGUUAUCCGGAAUUAUUGGGCGUAAAGAGUGCGUAGGUGGUUUUGUAAGCGUAGGGUGAAAGGCAGUAGCUCAACUAUUGUUAGCCCUGCGAACUGUGAGACUUGAGUGCAGGAGAGGAAAGUGGAAUUCCUAGUGUAGCGGUGAAAGGCGUAGAUAUUAGGAGGAACACCAGUGGCGAAGGCGACUUUCUGGACUGUAACUGACACUGAGGUGCGAAAGCGUGGGGAGCAAACAGGAUUAGAUACCCUUGUAGUCC
rnacentral:rRNA from 1 species